UACAGAGGUCUCAAGCGUUGUUCGGAUUCAUUGGGCGUAAAGGGUGCGUAGGCGGCGUUGGUAAGUCGGGUGUGAAAUCUCGGAGCUUAACGUCCGAAACUGCAUUCGAUACUGCCGUGCUUGAGGACUGGAGGAGGAGACUGGAAAUUUACGGUGUAGCGGUGAAAUGCGUAGAUAUCGAUAAGGAAGACCAGUGGCGAAGGCGGGUCUCUGGACAGUUC
rnacentral:rRNA from 1 species